AGAAGAGGAUUUGGGCUCCCGAGUGCCUGUGUGGCUUCCUCUGAGCCUCGCAGGGACUCUGCCUUGAUCACAGCGCCAGGGCCUUUUCUGGCUUCUCAGCAGUCUGUGUGAACCUUCAGAUGGGGUGGGCACACGUGGCACCCCCAGCCAAGCAGGGGACGGGCCGGACUCGGUCCUCCAGUGUCACCUCUCCCUCCUGCCACUGGAACCGAGGCUUAGAAUCACUGAGGCGGUGGGAACAUAGCUGUGGGCACAAGAGUGGACAUUUCUACGGCGUUCCCUGCUGACCAGGCGCUGUUCUCACGUGCCUCACAGCACACAUUAACUCAUCUUCCCCGCAACCAGCCCUGGAGGGCAGGGACUGUGAUUUUCCCCAUUUUACAGAUGAAGAAACAGAAGCAGAAAUGUUUAAACUUAUGGGAAGAUACACCACUAACAAGGGCUGGAGCCAGGACUCUAGCCAUGCAGUGUGGCUGCAGAGUACAGGAUUUUAAUCACCCGUUGCAUCCUCUGGCGUCGGGCAGGGCUGGACUUCAGGCUGGGUUUUCCCCGUUCCCAGCUGCACCCACGUCGUGUCUCCUCCUGGAGUCUAAGUUUCCUGUGCUGUGACUGCAGGCGGAGAGGAGGGCCCAACGUCUAGGGGAUUUCAUGCUGCAUCUAGAAGCCAAAACGCUGACACCCCUUGAAAAGGAGGGCUGGGAACUGAGAUGAUUGACGCCCCAAGGGGAAGCGGGCGCUUCCCAGAACAGCCUCGGCAUGACCUGGACAUGGAGCCAGGCGGCUGCUCCUUGCCCAACCCAUGGGGGCCUUGCAAUGAUUAAUAAUAAUAAUGAUGAUGAUAAUGG
rnacentral:lncRNA from 1 species